CACGUAGGGCGCAAGCGUUGUCCGGAAUUAUUGGGCGUAAAGAGCUCGUAGGCGGUCUGUUGCGUCCGCUGUGAAAUCUCGGGGCUUAACCCCGAGCCUGCAGUGGAUACGGGCAGACUAGAGGUAGGUAGGGGAGAAUGGAAUUCCCGGUGUAGCGGUGAAAUGCGCAGAUAUCGGGAGGAACACCGGUGGCGAAGGCGGGUCUCUGGACAGUUCCUGACACUGAGACACGAAGGCCAGGGGAGCAAACGGG
rnacentral:rRNA from 1 species